rnacentral:rRNA from 1 species
GAUAAACGCUGGCGGCGUGCAUGAGACAUGCAAGUCGAACGGACGAUCGAGGCUUGCCUUGAUCGUUAGUGGCGGACGGCUGAGUAACGCGUAGGUGACCUGCCCCGAAGUGGGGGAUAACUGCCCGAAAGGGUGGCUAAUACCGCAUGUGGUGGUUCGUUCAAUCGACCCAUCAAAGCAGCAAUGCGCUUCGGGAGGGGCCUGCGUCCGAUUAGCUCGUUGGUGGGGUAACGGCUCACCAAGGCGACGAUCGGUAGGUGGUCUGAGAGGACGAUCACCCAGACUGGGACUGAGACACGGCCCAGACUCCUACGGGAGGCAGCAGUGGGGAAUCUUGCGCAAUGGGCGAAAGCCUGACGCAGCGACGCCGCGUGAGGGAUGACGGCCUCGGU